GACAAAUCCCCACUAGUGCUGC
rnacentral:siRNA from 1 species